rnacentral:tRNA from 8 species
GGAGGGAUGCCCGAGUGGUUAAAGGGGGCGGACUGUAAAUCCGUUGGUUUAUCCUACGUCGGUUCAAAUCCGACUCCCUCCACCA